AACACUUUUUAAGAAGGAUUUUUGAGAUUUGUGUUUCUGAACAGACAGCAGAUCUUUGUGAUUCUCGUGGUGAUUUUAUUUUUCAAACCAUCAUUCAUUAAGUAAAAGUAAAGUUUAGAUCACUGGAACUCAAACUGUUAAAACUGUUUUAGGUUAGUCUGGAGGACAAAACCUGUGUGUUUAGUGUGUAUUUACUCAACAAACACAUCAGUAACACAUUCAGACACAUCAGGAAAGUCGUUCCAUCAUAUAAGAGCAGAACAGAAACUGGCAUAAAAUCAGAGCAGCAGAUGUUUCUGUUUGUCAGACCACAAACCUGUUGAAAAGUGGACACAUUAUUUUAGCCAGACCUGAAGAGAAGAUCCUUGCUGAAGACCCUGAAGAAGUAACUAGCCUACAAGAUUGAGUCAAGACUGAUUUGAUCCUUAGCUUUGUUCUCAAGUCUUUCUGUUGCGUCAAGAUGGAAUGUGCUGGCUUUUUUUAGGAGGCAGCAUCCUUCCUGAAUCUGACAGUAGUAAAAUCAGUCCUAAUAAAGAGGGGAAAAGCCUCAACUGGAUGUCAAUUUA